rnacentral:rRNA from 1 species
UGAGGAAUAUUGGUCAAUGGGCGCAAGCCUGAACCAGCCAUCCCGCGUGCAGGAAGACGGCCCUAUGGGUUGUAAACUGCUUUUCCAGGGAGAGAAACUUGCGCACGUGUUGCGCAAUUGACGGUACCCUGGGAAUAAGCAUCGGCUAACUCCGUACCAGCAGCCGCGGUAAUACGGAGGAUGCGAGCGUUAUCCGGAUUCAUUGGGUUUAAAGGGUGCGUAGGCGGACUAUUAAGUCAGUGGUGAAAUCCUGCAGCUUAACUGCAGAACUGCCAUUGAUACUGAUAGCCUUGAGUUUGGUUAAGGUAGGCGGAAUGUGUAAUGUAGCGGUGAAAUGCUUAGAUAUUACACAGAACACCAAUUGCGUAGGCAGCUUACUGAGCCGACACUGAUGCUGAGGCACGAAAGCGUGGGGAUCGAACAG